rnacentral:rRNA from 1 species
UACGAAGGGGGCUAGCGUUGCUCGGAAUCACUGGGCGUAAAGGGUGCGUAGGCGGGUCUUUAAGUCAGGGGGGAAAUCCUGGAGCUCAACUCCAGAACUGCCUUUGAUACUGGAAGACUUGAGUCCGGGAGAGGUGAGUGGAACUGCGAGUGUAGAGGUGAAAUUCGUAGAUAUUCGCAAGAACACCAGUGGCGAAGGCGGCUCACUGGCCCGGUACUGACGCUCAUGCACGAAAGCGUGGGGAGCAAACAGG